rnacentral:rRNA from 1 species
CAGUCUGAUAUUGAAAUUCGGCACAGUUUGUACAGGAUAGGUAGGAGCCUUAGAAGCGUGAACGCUAGUUUACGUGGAGGCGUUGGUGGGAUACUACCCUCGCUGUGUUGGAUUUCUAACCCGCACCAUUAAUCAUGGUGGGAGACAGUGUCAGAUGGGCAGUUUGACUGGGGCGGUCGCCUCCUAAAGAGUAACGGAGGCGCUCAAAGGUUCCCUCAGAAUGGUUGGAAAUCAUUCACAGAGUGUAAAGGCAUAAGGGAGCUUGACUGCGAGACU